GCGAAGGUACUCGAUUGGCUAGUUCCAAGCUGGUUGUGAACUGGUUGCGAGCAGGUUGUAAGCUCGCCCACCAACGGGCCGAGUUCAACUAUCGAUCGUGCUUGAAUAAUUUCGCGGCCAGUUGCCAGUCUUUAGCUACACCAGCUAAGCUACCCAGACGUUUCACUCGGCUUGUCACUCGCCGAAAUCCAGUGGGAUCCUAAGGACACUCCGUUAGGAUCAUCCGGGACAACCUGGGACAUCCGGAUGGAGACGGCAGUGGUCUCCCCCCCACAAACGAUCCGUACUUAAUUCCUAACCUCUCAGAGAGCCGUCAAAUGGCCGGCACGGUACAUGCGCCAGGCUGUCGAAGCCGUUAAGGAUCAAAGUUCUCAGAGUAGUGCUCGUUUAUGCGCUGGGAGGAUCGAAGGGCAGAUGGGCGAGAACGGAGGGCAGGCAAUGGGGGGUUCCGAGGAAAAGGUGGACGCAGGAAGAAAGUUCCUCGAAGGAAGUCGUGCACGAUCGAUUUACUAACGAGGCCAAGUGGUAUCGCCAUUAUUUUCCCACCCACGUUGCCAUCGUCUCUCAGUGGAAUAACGCGUGUGUCACUUGCCCUCGUCAGUAUUUCUCUCCAGCUAUUAAUAAUCUGACUUGGGAUACUUACUUCCUCGUUGUGGAAUCUGCGCAGCUGAAAACAAAAAGAAAAUAAGGACUACCUUAAUUGAUGGGCAGAUUGGGAGCUUCGAGAGUCCUCGAGGGGAAAGAAGAGAGUAACGUAGGAACGGAAGGAAUAAUUAAUCAAUUACGUAAUUGCCGAUAAUAAAUAAUAGAAAGUUAUAAA